GUAUUGUUCGGCUUUUUUUUUUUUUUUACACUGUUGUUUUUAUUCAUCUGAUGAUUUCUCAUCCAACCCUACUCUCCAUUGUCCUCUAGCAAAAUUCAAAAAUCUCUCCCCAAAAAUAUCAAUUCUAACAGUGAAAUUGAAAUCCUUAGGAGAUCGUUUAAUUUUUUUCCUCUAUUAUUGUUCGAAUAUCUUUCUCUUUGUUGUUAAUCGCUUGUUUCUUUCGCCCCUCGCUUGGUUCAAAUUCGACCAACAAGAGGAAAAAUUUCACAGAAAGUAUACCGUAACACCUUUAUCCUACUUUAUCUCUUGCCUUUUGUUGAGUAUGCUUCUUUGAUUUCUAUAUUUCUAUUUCUCUUCGAUCGAUCUCUUCUUUGAGUUUAGGAUUUUCUAAGUUGUAUUGAGAUUUUCUGUCAUCUCCUUCUUUUGCUUGUUCUUCUAUGUAUUUGUUUGAUUUUUAGAUCUGCAUUUGGUUAAUUAUUUUCGUAUUGGGGUUUUUUCGAACUCUGCGCGAGUUUCUAUUUUAUUUUUUCCAUCUCUUCUUUCUACAUAUGUGUACAUCUUAGGCUUUUUUCUUACCUCUAUUUUUAUUUGUUUGAUGUGUUUUGGGUUUUUCUCAGAUUUGUUCUACAUGGUUAAAUUAAAUUUAUGCGAGUUGCUCAUUACAUCCAUUCACUAUGAAAUUACUAAAUUAACUAUUGCUUUUGCUGUUGUAUGAGGCAUUUGUUAAAUAAUUUCAAGCUAGAUGUGAAGAAACCAAUUUUCCUGUGAUUGAUAUAGUAAGUAUUCAUGAUCAGUUUCCAAUUCAAAUAAGUUAUUAUGGUUCAUUAUUACUUCCAAUAUUGUAAACUGAUUAUUAUUGUAUUAGAACUGUUGAACUACUUAAAAUUUAUUCCUUUCAAAAGUAGCCUCUACGAUCCAUUUCGCCUGUUUAGCUGAAAUUAGAACUUGUAGUGUAGUUUUCACAUACUUUUAAAAAUUAAUAUUAUUUUCACAUAAUGGAUAAUUGUUUAUUAUGAGAUUGUUAAAGAGUGUUUCUUUUGCUUCUCAAUUCUAAUUAUUAGCUAUUUAUCUUUAUUGACUUCAAGCUGUUAUUAAGAAGAAAUGUAGCCUAAAUGCUACCAAUGUUGGUGAUGAGGUUGGCUUUGCCCCUUAUAUUCAGGUUGAACAUUUUAUUUUGGUGGUUUUACUUUCUCGUCCUUUGAUUUCUACAAUCCACAUUUACAAUAUUAUGUCUGUUCAAUUUCACGAGAACAAAGGUCUUCAAUUGAUCAGGACGACCAUUGCUAAAGCAUGUUAUACAGCAAAAGUUCAUUCUCCCCUUUUCUUUUCAUUUAUGUGUUUGGUUCGUUCGAUGUUCUAUAAUCACCUUGUAUUUCUUCUAUCUUCACCUUGUGAAAGAGUAAAACUUCUAAAGCUUGCUUCUUCCUUCUACUCAGGUUGUCAUUGGAAUAAAUGUUGCUGCAUUAGAAUUUUAUAGAUCGGACAAAACUUAUGAUUUGAAAUUGUCAAGGCAAUGGAUGCAAGCAACCCUGGUAAUUAAUGCCAAUUGUUAGUUUUAAUACAAAUUUUCUCAUUAUUAGUUCUAAAUUGUUUAAAUUAAACAUAUUUACUUUAGUUGACAAUUUGAUUCUAAUGAAUAAAAUCUAACAUAACUAUCAUCUCCAAUAGUCAUUUAAGCUCAUUUUGUGUUAUCGAAGGUUCUGACCACAUUAGGAUAUCAGAGCAGCUUUGAAAAUCAGGUGUACUCCAACUUCAUUCUGAUUUCAAAUACUCGGCUAAUUUAUUUAAUGAAUUUGGCUGUUGAUCUUGCCUUUUAUGCAGUUGGAUAUAAACUACUAUGACCUUGGCCUUCCCUAGUGAGAUGUUGCUAAUGACUAAAAAAACCAUUCAAAUUGCAUAAGCUACUUUUGAGUUUGACAUCCUAUGUUCUCGAUUUGAAUAAAUAUUAUAAUAGGACUUCGAUAUCUUCAUUUUCUCAUUUGCUUCAUAAUAUUUGCAGUAGAGAUAAAAUUUUCAACAUUUGUAUUUUUAAGUUUUCUAUUACAAUUUUCGUAAAUAUGUAUUCGUUCUUCUUCUUAGUUGAUAGUUAUUUUGUAUGUUGAAAUUGUAGGUUCAAUUUAGUAAUUAAAUGUGCCACCAUUUCUCCUGGUAGGCACAACUCUUCUUAAAUUGUUCGAUGCUAUGCGAUGGCUCUUCAAAUCAUUUUAUCUUUAAAUUAUGAAUCAGAUCAUUAUCCCUUAUACACAUUAAUAAAAGAGGAAAUGUGAUGUGCAUUGUUCAUUUUUGUCCCCUCGUGUUCACACUCAAUCAGGAUAGGCACUAUUCAAAAACAAGUUUCAUACUGUUCAUCAAAAUAUCUUUGGUAUAUAUUAUAUAAAUGCCUUUUGUACCUCUUGUAAUACCAUUUAUACCUUCCUAAUCUCUUAAAGAAUUGUAGGUAGCCAUUAACUUCGAUCAGCGAUAAGAACGACAAAGACGAAGACAUGAAGAAUAAGGUUUCGUCGCGAUACCUCGAGUUGGAUAAAUUUUUGUUUUGGGAUAUCUAUUUUCCUUCUUUCUAAUUUUACUUUCUAAGUUUAGUCGCAUUUUUCUUUGUUUAAAUUUGGAGGUUUUGAGUAUAUAUGAUACCUGGGCAUUUCAUAAAUAGCUUAAAUAGUUCUUUAGUUUUGGGAAUUCCAUAUUCUGAUUUUUUGAGGUAACUCAUUUACCUUUGUUUAGAUGCUUAUUCUUUGUUCUCCGUGUCUGUUAGUUUGUUUCUGAACCGAAACUAACUUCCUGUUCUUAAAUUCAUUCUUUUGAUUUAAUUUUUUGAAUUUCAAGUCUAUUCCUAUUUUUAACUUCUGUUGUUUAAAUAGUGUAUGCCAAUAAUGUUGUGAGAAUGCAAUUUAUUAGUUCCAUGGUUCAUGUAGUGGACCUCCGUGAUUUCUCCAUUAGUAUCCUUGCUUGACGUCUGGCAAACAUUGAAUUAGUUGAAGUAGACCUCGGUUUGGCUUCAGAUCCCAAUCUCAACAUCUCGAGCGGUCAUCAGCCUAUAGCGAAGGAGACAAGUACUAUGGCGCAAAAGCAACUAUUAAUGUUUGGGAACCUAAAAUACAGCAGCAUCAUAACGAGUUCAAUUUGUCCCAAAUUUGGUUACUGGGUGGUUCAUUUGGUGAAGAUCUCAAUAGCAUUAAAGCUGGUUGGUAGGUAUAUUUUUCUCCAAAUUACUUGGUCGAUCAUAAUUUGUUGCAUUCAUCUAACGGAUUAGAAUGCAUGUUAUUCAAGUUAGCCUUGAUCUCUACGGGGAUAACAACACAACCAUUUUUGAAUACAUACCUAUAGACAAUUUAAAAAAGAAUGCCAGCUCAUAUUAAAUAGAAGUUAAUUAUAAGUACAAAAACUCAAAGAAAGCAUUUAAUGGAGGUUCUUAAUAGUUAGUCUUGUGUUUUGGAACAUGCUUAUAUAUGUGACAAUUAUGCAUCUCUUCCAAUCCAAUUUGGCACAUCGAGUAAAAGCUUCAAUUGGCACCCGAUGUUGGAUGUCUUUGAUAACUGGAGCUAAUUGGUUAUAUGUAGAGGAAAUUUUACUGUUAGUUAAUCUCAAGCAUAAAUAAAAUAGUUAAUCCAUAAGCAAGCUAGAGUAUAGUACGAAUCAUGCUGUAAAUUUCUCUGUCAAAAUGAUUUUUCUUAUAUUUGUAGUUUUUUUUAAGGGACAAGCUUUGAGAAAUUACUUGGCAAUGAUGAGAGAAGAGAAAGAAAAUCCGGUUUUGAGAAUUCUUAAAAUGAAAGAACGACGAGAAUCGAUUCCCUAAAAAAGAAAGCACUGAACGUGUCUUCAAAGUCAAGCAUUCUCUCAAGAAGAGCAGCAAAAGUAAGAGUGGUGUUAGUGGCAACUUUGUUUCAUUUGAGGAUAUUCGGGAGGCUGAUGAGCUGCAAGCUAUUAAGGCAUUUCAGCGAGCCUUGAUGCUAAUUGCCAAACAAGUUUGAUGAUUAUCAUAUGAUGUUGAGUGCUCAGAAUUCUUUGGUGGAACAUAUAUCUUUGCAGACCAACGGGUUUGCCUUCGGUCAGAUAAACGACCAUGGAAAAUUCCCCGAGAUACAAAAGGUCUUUCCUAACAUGGGAGCUAUUAAAUUGAUCUACAAAAAUAAUAUAUAAAUACUUGUGUUAUAAUUUUGAUCAUGUUAAAAAAUAAUAAAUGGCUCGAAAUCAUGUUGCAGCUAGUGCUUGAUGGUGAAGCAGGACUGCCAGGAAGGUGGUUGAAAAUCUUAACAACGAUGGAAAGAUAGUUUAUGCUAAGCCCCACUACUUGAUUGUAUAGACUAUGUCUGUUGUGCAUAUGAUUAGGCACAACUACACAAUAUUUCUAUUUUAUGUGAGAUUUUAUUUUUAUUUAGUUGUUGAAGUAGGUAAAAGGCAGUGACACCUCAACUGUUGAAUUUGGUUAUGAAGCUGAAGAUAUUUCUUCACCAAAAUCUAUUAGGAGUUACUCGCACCUUUGAUUGACUCUUGCUCGUGAGGAGGUAUGGUCAAGCCUUACAAUUUCAAGAUUAGAUAUUUAAUUAUCUGCUAAUGAAAAUAAUGUUUUCUAUAAGUUUAAUUGAAACCUCCCUUAUUUAGUCUUGAGUCUGGUGGUAGCUUGUGCAAAUAUUUAAUUUGGUGCUCGUAGGUCAGUUAGUAUUUGCUUAAUUGCAACACAAGUGCAAAAUUAUCAAUUGCUUGAUAUCUUCUCUUUGAUUGGUUUAAAAGCAUCUAUAUAUACCCUAAAAAGGUGGCCAGUUUCAUGGAAUUCAAAUUUAGAUCAAAUUUUUAUAGGUCGGGUUGUGCAAUCUUUUGCUACUAAAAAAUCAAGUAAAGUGACAUUAUUCAAGAGUUCAUUAGUUAUUUGAUAAUUAUUAUUUAUAAUGUCUAUCAUUUUAUUUAUGAUAUAAGGUGCAAAUUCUUCAUGAAAUAUAACUAAGCACACAAUUUCUUGUAAGAAAUAUUUUUCCUAUAAAACUAAUUUUCCUUACUUAAGAAAGGGAUAUCUUUACCAUAUAGAGUGUGAACACAGCAUAGAAAAGUGUUGACACUUUCUCAAUCCCUCACAAAAAUUAAUGUGGAGGAUCAACCUUUCUCUUUUGAUUAUCUCAGGUUAAAGCUAAUGGAAACUCUAGCUUGGUAAAUUAUCACGAUAUGAUGAGUAUGUUCCUAUGGUUGACAAAGUUGUUGAUUCUGGAUGGAAAAAGCAAACAUCACUUUCAAAACCUUAUGUUGUUAAAGAGCUCCGGUAGAAUAAGAGGAUGCUUGAUAAACCCAUCCGAGAAAUUGGAAGGAAAAAGACUAUUUACAAGCACAAGGAAAGAAACUGAUUGUGGAGAUAAAAAAAAAAAAAUGUAAAGGAAGGGCAGAUGAAGAAACAAGCUGUCCAAAUUUAAAGCUCAAAUAACAGAAGUGGAAGGGAUAAUGAUGGACAAUAUUGAGAAAGUAUAACAAGAGGCAUCAAAGCCCAAGCACAAGAAGUCGAUACAGGAGUCGUGAAAGAGACCUCCCUACAAGCUUUUUGGUCUGCAAACGUCGGCAUGAUUGCAAGUCUAUUUUAAUGUUUCUUAAAUGAAAAUUCAAUUGCUAUUAUUUCUUGUAGUUGU